UUUUUCUUCUUUUUUUUUUUUCCUCAAAGUGACAUUUUUAUGUAAUCAAUGUUAUACUGAGAAGAAAUGGCGGAUUUUCCUGGGAAGGUCAACACUCAGACCAGCUCCAGUGAACCUCACAGAAGUUAUGGAAGCACACUUACGGCAGACAUGGACUUCAUCAGAAGUAUUCCUGGUAUCCUACUUAUAGCUGAGAUUUUUGUUGGAUUACUGGUGUGGUCGCUGAUCGCCAGCACCAUCUUCACUUCAAAUUCUGCUUAUGUUUGGGUGAUGAUUGUCAGCGUGACGCUGUGGCUUCUGAGCAUUGCCCUGUUUGUUGUGCUGUUGUUGAGGUUUUAUCAGAGUCUACCCUCAGUGCCCUGGCCUUUAGUGCUCAUGGUGUUCUAUGUGGUCGCAUCUGUUCUAUACAUAACUGCCUUUUUGGCUGAUGCAGCAUCUGUCCCAGCCAAGAGGAAUUUCUGGCAUGGUCAUCUGGGAGCUUCUGCAUUCUUUGCCAUAGUGGUGACUCUGUUAUACGGAGCUAGCAGCUACUUAGCCUAUUUGGACUGGAGGGGUGAAGGGCAAAAUGCAGCGGCGAGUACAGUGCCUGUGUAGACCAUCCUCUGAUUAACAUUCUCAGUCACUAUAUGAGGAGAUUUAGACUUGAGAUAUUACUCAGAUUUUUUGGCACUGCUGAAAAUCCUCUUCAGGAACGUCCAACAACCCUUCUGUAUAAUGGUGCCCAACAAAGUUGCUAGAUGGUUUAUAACAUGAACAUUGUGUGUGCGCUUAUGUGCAUCAGGCGUGGGGUCAGUAAGUUUUUUUUUAAAAGAAUGAAACUAAUUAUUUUACUCAGCAAAGAUGAAUUGAAUUGAUCAAAAGUGACAGUAAAUGCAUUUACAGUAUAAUAUUCCAAGAGAUUUUAUAUUUUAAAAAAAUGCUGGGAUGAGAUCGGGAAAGGUCCAACAAGGUUGACUUGGGUGCAGCAUGUAGGCACACUGCCCCCUAGGCAAUCAGUGCCUAGAAGCUAUUUUAAAUUGCAGUAACAUUUUGCAAUAUUACUGCUUUUAUUGCAUGUUUACAGUGGCCGGAAGAGCUCGAUGCGCUGCACAUGCAAACUCAUGCAAAUGGAAAAAGCACCAGCAUACUAAGAAUACAUCAGUUUGACAGCAUGUGCUGCAAAUGCUCACAACACAAACAAAGAAAUGCACAAGUAUCAUAGACCACAAUAAAAUUACCUCAACAAAGUGAAAACGGACCGAGGUUUUUUUUUAACCACGGUUAUACAAAUACCUUGGUCCAAACUAUGGUUACUGUAGUAAAUCCAUGGUUAAUUUGUGCAUGGCUACCAUAGUUAAACUCUAGAAACCAUUUCUAUGCUUUAUCAAUGAAUUCAUUAACUUUAAUAGUAAAACCAUAGGUUAUGGAUUUUUUUGUAAGGGAAGUUAUAGAAGUAAAUUAGCCAGUUUACAUAACCUUUCACAGUUACAGCAAUUGUGUAUUUUGUCCUUAUUUAGGCUAAUAUAUGUAGAGAGAGAGAGAGAGAGAGAGAGAGAGAGCGCUUAAAUCCUAUGAUCAGGAUGUUAAAAUAAACAAGAGUUGGCUCAUUUGGAUUGCAUUUCUUUAUUUGUGUUGUGAGCAUUUGCAGUACUUGUGUUGUCAAAUUGAUGAAGAUGUUUUCUUAAUUUGCAGGUGUUUUCGUCUACUAUUUUUCUGAUACACUAAAUUACUUCAGCAACUAUGUAUUUAAGUGGUGAGGUUCUUGCAUUAUUGUAAAGUUAUGCUUAAGAAUGUAAUUGUU